CGUCACCACCACUACAGUUGCUAGUGGUCUUUGUUGGUGGGCCAAUUUGCAUAAUUGCUGGUGGCAGGAAGCUAUAGUAAGGCUGAAGAUCAUUUGGUACGCUUGGUCCUGGUUCAACAGUUGGAUCUUCCAUGCUACCCUUUUAACAAAUCAUCAAAAACAUAUAUGAUUAUAGAUAAAAUUAAUGUUUAUAAAAAUUA
rnacentral:misc_RNA from 1 species